rnacentral:rRNA from 1 species
UGAGUAAUGUCUGGGAAACUGCCUGAUGGAGGGGGAUAACUACUGGAAACGGUAGCUAAUACCGCAUAACGUCGCAAGACCAAAGAGGGGGACCUUCGGGCCUCUUGCCAUCAGAUGUGCCCAGAUGGGAUUAGCUAGUAGGUGGGGUAAUGGCUCACCUAGGCGACGAUCCCUAGCUGGUCUGAGAGGAUGACCAGCCACACUGGAACUGAGACACGGUCCAGACUCCUACGGGAGGCAGCAGUGGGGAAUAUUGCACAAUGGGCGCAAGCCUGAUGCAGCCAUGCCGCGUGUGUGAAGAAGGCCUUCGGGUUGUAAAGCACUUUCAGCGAGGAGGAAGGUGGUGAACUUAAUACGUUCAUCAAUUGACGUUACUCGCAGGGGGGGGGCCGGCUAACUCCGUGCCAGCAGCCGCGGUAAUACGGAGGGUGCAAGCGUUAAUCGGAAUUACUGGGCGUAAAGCGCACGCAGGCGGUUUGUUAAGUCAGAUGUGAAAUCCCCGGG